AACACCAAAGAAACUAUGCUUUCGUUCAAAAAAUGGUUCAAUAUGUUCAUCAUUUUCCAUGUCAUGGCUGCAACUCCAAUAUUCUCAUUAUCAGAUCAUUCCUGAAACCUACUCUCCACAAACUUUCUAGAAAUUGCCAAGAAGCCUGAAGUAUUUGAUUGGAUGGUGAAAAUCAGAAGGAAGAUUCAUGAGAAUCCAGAGUUGGGUUAUGAGGAAUUUGAGACCAGUAAACUCGUUAGAGAGGAAUUGGAUAAAUUGGGUAUCCCAUAUAAACACCCAGUUGCAGUCACUUAUGUAGUUAUGUUAUUGGCUACAUAGGGACAGAAAACUCACCUUUUGUUGCAAUAAGAGCUAAUAUGGAUGCACUUCCCGUCCAGGAAAUGGUGGAGUGGGAGCACAAGACUAAAGUACCUGGAAAAAUGCAUGCAUGUGGUCAUGAUUCUCAUGUCGCUAUGCUUCUUGGGGCUGCAAAGAUUCUCAAACAGCAUGAAAAACAGUUGCAGGUUUUACUUACUUUUUAUAUUGCCUUCUUUAUUUCUGUUUCCUCUCUGUAUAACAUUAUGUUUUCCUUAAUUUAUUCAAACAAGAUUUUUUUGUUAGUGCGUGAAAGACAGGAUUUAACAGCAAAAAAGUACCAUGCUAAAAAGCAUAGUGUUGAAAAAUGUGUUCCAUCUAAUAAAUAUCUUGACAGGUUGGAGUGGCCAUCACGAUCUUAUAAAACAAAAGCCGAUUGUUUGCUGUUUUACUGUUGUCCUCUGUUUUGUUUGUACUACUUCACUUCGUUUCAUUCUCUCAAACACCAAACCAAAGUAACUAUGUGUUGCUUCAGAAAACGGUUCAAUUUGUUCUUCAUUUUCCUUGCCUUGGAUGCAACACCCAUCUUCUCAUUAACAGAUUCCUCAAAUCAACUCUCCACAAACUAUCUAGAAAAUGCCAAGAAGCCUGAAGUAUUUGAUUGGAUGGUGAAAAUCAGAAGGAAGAUUCAUGAGAAUCCAGAGUUGGGUUAUGAAGAAUUUGAGACCAGUAAACUGAUUAGAGAGGAAUUAGAUAAACUGGGUAUCUCAUAUAAACACCCAGUUGCUGUCACUGGUGUUAUUGGCUACAUUGGGACAGGAAGCUCGCCUUUUGUUGCAAUAAGAACUGAUAUGGAUGCACUCCCGAUUCAGGAAAUGGUGGAGUGGGAGCACAAGAGUAAAGUACCUGGAAAGAUGCAUGCGUGUGCCCAUGAUGCUCAUGUCGCUAUGCUUCUUGGGGCAGCAAAGAUUCUCAAACAACAUGAAAAACAGUUGCAGGGAACUAUUGUUCUUGUUUUCCAACCAGCAGAGGAAGGAGGUGCAGGGGCUAAGAAAAUUUUAGAUACUGGAGCCUUAGAUAAUGUUAUUGCUAUCUUUGGAUUACAUGUGAAGCCUGAGAUUCCUGUAGGUGAAGUGGCCUCUAGGUCUGGUCCAUUAUUGGCAGGAAGUGGUGUAUUUGAAGCAAUAAUAAGAGGAAAGGGAGGUCAUGCAGCUCUUCCCCAACUUUCUAUAGACCCUGUAAUGGCUGCUACCAAUGUCAUUAUUAGCUUACAAAACCUUGUUUCUCGCGAGGCUGAUCCUCUUGACCCUCAGGUUUUGACAAUUGCAAAGCUCCAAGGAGGUGAUGCUUUCAAUGUUAUUCCAGAUUAUGUCACAAUUGGUGGCACUUUCCGAGCUUUUUCUAGAGAAACAUUGGAGCACCUUAAACAACGCAUUGAGCAGGUUAUCAUUGGUCAAGCUGCUGUGCUAAGGUGCAAUGCAAGUGUCAACUUCUUUGAAGAAGAGAAUCCUUUAUAUCCUCCAACUAUAAAUAAUGGUGACCUGCACAAGCUUUUUGUUGAUGUAGCUGGGAAUUUGCUUGGUAUCAAUAAAGUUGACACUAAUAUGGAACAAGACAUGGCUGCUGAAGACUUUGCGUUUUAUCAAGAGGUCAUACCUGGCUACUACUUCACGCUUGGAAUGAAGAAUGCUUCUUCAUUUGAACCGGUUGCGCCAUUACACUCACCCUAUCUUGUAAUCAAUGAAGAUGGACUUCCUUAUGGGGCUGCACUUCAUGCAUCAUUGGCCACUGGUUAUCUUACAAAAUAUCAGCGGGGCAUAGCCAAGGUAGUAGGGAAAUAUCAUGAUCAAUUGUAAGUGUCAGCAAUUGUUAAAAGCUAUUGUAGUCUUAUUUCUUGCAACAAUGACCUGAUAUAUAUGUGGCAUUGUUAUACAGCUUCAACUGUCACAUGCUUUAGAUUCCUAAGUGUUUUUCCCUUUAAAGAUCGGAGUAACAAUAAAGAUAAAAGGAGCACUAGAAACACACUUGUGACACAUAUUUAAUGAAUAUUUACUCAUAUUAUAGAA